AAUCUUGGUUUUGUUAUUAUUCCUCGUUGGUUCGCCAAAUGGAUAAAAAUGACUUUGCUUACAAGAACUAUUGGAACUAUUUAUAACGAAUUUAAUUGAUUGUUUUAUCAUUUAUAUAUAAAGAAUUUAUGGCAAAAUAUAGUUAUAUAUACAACCUCAACUCAUAUGGGACUACCCCCCUGAAUUUAAGCAUAUUAAUUAGGGGAGGAAAAGAAACUAACAAGGAUUUUCUUAGUAGCGGCGAGCGAAAAGAAAACAGUUCAGCACUAAGUCACUUUGUCUAUAUGGCAAAUGUGAGAUGCAGUGUAUGGAGCGUCAAUAUUCUAGUAUGAGAAAUUAAUGAUUUAAGUCCUUCUUAAAUGAGGCCAUUUACCCAUAGAGGGUGCCAGGCCCGUAUAACGUUAAUGAUUGCUAGAUGAUGUUUCCAAAGAGUCGUGUUGCUUGAUAGUGCAGCACUAAGUGGGUGGUAAACUCCAUCUAAAACUAAAUAUAACCAUGAGACCGAUAGUAAACAAGUACCGUGAGGGAAAGUUGAAAAGAACUCUGAAUAGAGAGUUAAACAGUACGUGAAACUGCUUAGAGGUUAAGCCCGAUGAACCUGAAUAUCCGUUAUGGAAAAUUCAUCAUUAAAAUUGUAAUAUUUAAAUAAUAUUAUUAAGAAUAAUGUGCAUUUUUUCCAUAUAAGGACAUCGUACUCUAUUAGCAUCUCCCAGAAUUUAUCAUAAAAUAUAACUUAUAGUUUAUUCCAAUUAAAUUGCUUGCAUUUUAGCACAGAAUAAAUGUUAUUAAUUUGAUAAAGUGCUGAUUGAUUUAUAUUAUUACAGAGCGUUAAUUUUUCGGAAUUAUAUAAUGGCAUAAUUAUCAUUGAUUUUUGUGUUUAUUAUAUGCUCUUGUAUGAUUAACAAUGCGAAAGAUUCAGGAUACCUUCGGGACCCGUCUUGAAACACGGACCAAGGAGUCUAACAUAUGUGCAAGUUAUUGGGAUGUAAACCUAAUAGCGUAAUUAACUUGACUAAUAAUGGGAUUAGUUUUUUAGCUAUUUAUAGCUAAUUAACACAAUCCCGGGGCGUUCUAUAUAGUUAUGUAUAAUGUAUAUUUAUAUUAUUUAUGCCUCUAACUGGAACGUACCUUGAGCAUAUAUGCUGUGACCCGAAAGAUGGUGAACUAUACUUGAUCAGGUUGAAGUCAGGGGAAACCCUGAUGGAAGACCGAAACAGUUCUGACGUGCAAAUCGAUUGUCAGAAUUGAGUAUAGGGGCGAAAGACCAAUCGAACCAUCUAGUAGCUGGUUCCUUCCGAAGUUUCCCUCAGGAUAGCUGGUGCAUUUUAAUAUUAUAUAAAAUAAUCUUAUCUGGUAAAGCGAAUGAUUAGAGGCCUUAGGGUCGAAACGAUCUUAACCUAUUCUCAAACUUUAAAUGGGUAAGAACCUUAACUUUCUUGAUAUGAAGUUCAAGGUUAUGAUAUAAUGUGCCCAGUGGGCCACUUUUGGUAAGCAGAACUGGCGCUGUGGGAUGAACCAAACGUAAUGUUACGGUGCCCAAAUUAACAACUCAUGCAGAUACCAUGAAAGGCGUUGGUUGCUUAAAACAGCAGGACGGUGAUCAUGGAAGUCGAAAUCCGCUAAGGAGUGUGUAACAACUCACCUGCCGAAGCAACUAGCCCUUAAAAUGGAUGGCGCUUAAGUUGUAUACCUAUACAUUACCGCUAAAGUAGAUGAUUUAUAUUACUUGUGAUAUAAAUUUUGAAACUUUAGUGAGUAGGAAGGUACAAUGGUAUGCGUAGAAGUGUUUGGCGUAAGCCUGCAUGGAGCUGCCAUUGGUACAGAUCUUGGUGGUAGUAGCAAAUAAUCGAAUGAGACCUUGGAGGACUGAAGUGGAGAAGGGUUUCGUGUGAACAGUGGUUGAUCACGAGUUAGUCGGUCUAAGUUCAAGGCGAAAGCCGAAAAUUUUCAAGUAAAACAAAAAUGCCUAACUAUAUAAACAAAGCGAAUAUAAUACACUUGAAUAAUUUUGAACGAAAGGGAAUACGGUUCCAAUUCCGUAACCUGUUGAGUAUCCGUUUGUUAUUAAAUAUGGGCCUCGUGCUCAUCCUGGCAACAGGAACGACCAUAAAGAAGCCGUCGAGAGAUAUCGGAAGAGUUUUCUUUUCUGUUUUAUAGCCGUACUACCAUGGAAGUCUUUCGCAGAGAGAUAUGGUAGAUGGGCUAGAAGAGCAUGACAUAUACUGUUGUGUCGAUAUUUUCUCCUCGGACCUUGAAAAUUUAUGGUGGGGACACGCAAACUUCUCAACAGGCCGUACCAAUAUCCGCAGCUGGUCUCCAAGGUGAAGAGUCUCUAGUCGAUAGAAUAAUGUAGGUAAGGGAAGUCGGCAAAUUAGAUCCGUAACUUCGGGAUAAGGAUUGGCUCUGAAGAUUGAGAUAGUCGGGCUUGAUUGGGAAACAAUAACAUGGUUUAUGUGCUCGUUCUGGGUAAAUAGAGUUUCUAGCAUUUAUGUUAGUUACUUGUUCCCCGGAUAGUUUAGUUACGUAGCCAAUUGUGGAACUUUCUUGCUAAAAUUUUUAAGAAUACUAUUUGGGUUAAACCAAUUAGUUCUUAUCAAUUAUAACGAUUAUCAAUUAACAAUCAAUUCAGAACUGGCACGGACUUGGGGAAUCCGACUGUCUAAUUAAAACAAAGCAUUGUGAUGGCCCUAGCGGGUGUUGACACAAUGUGAUUUCUGCCCAGUGCUCUGAAUGUCAAGUGAAGAAAUUCAAGUAAGCGCGGGUCAACGGCGGGAGUAACUAUGACUCUCUUAAGGUAGCCAAAUGCCUCGUCAUCUAAUUAGUGACGCGCAUGAAUGGAUUAACCGAGAUUCCUACUGUCCCUAUCUAUCCUCCUGGCUGGUGCAGGAGCCGGUAUCUCGGCGGGACCGAAAUGGAUGGUGCUGCCUGAAGGAAUGAGAUUUUCCAUCGAAUCCGGCGGAGGGAAGGGCAGUCAUUCUUAGUGGAAUC
rnacentral:rRNA from 1 species